rnacentral:rRNA from 1 species
UACGUAGGGUGCAAGCGUUGUCCGGAAUUAUUGGGCGUAAAGAGCUCGUAGGCGGUUUGUCGCGUCGACUGUGAAAACCCGAGGCUUAACCUCGGGCCUGCAGUCGAUACGGGCAGACUAGAGUUCGGUAGGGGAGACUGGAAUUCCUGGUGUAGCGGUGAAAUGCGCAGAUAUCAGGAGGAACACCGGUGGCGAAGGCGGCAUCCUGGACCAAUUCUGACGCUGAGGAGCGAAAGCCAGGGGAGCAAACGGG